rnacentral:lncRNA from 1 species
UAAAACUGGAGACCCCAGAACUUGGUGUCUGCCUCCCAUGGCACCGGGAAGGGUGGAGGCAGGUUAGAAAAAUAUCCCCUUUCUCCCACAGCCAUCAGAGCAGGACUCUGGCUCACAGGUGCCUUUAGAAGUACCAUUUCAUGUGAAGGCUACAAUGCCCCAUUUUACAGGUGGGGAAACAAAGGCCUUGAGGGCUAGGGAAGAGGGCAGCCUCCCCAGGUGGGGCAACGCACCAGCUCCUCGAAGCCGCUGUGGGGCUCGGCCCGCUGCUUGUAGAGGGCUUCCCACCCCAACUCCAGCAUCCUCUCCAGCUCCCGUAGAGUCUCCUGCUGCCACAGCCUCUCAUCCUGCUCCCGAAAACCUCUCCUGUUCCAGCAGCUCCUCCACCUUGUCCAGCAGCCUCUCCUGUUCCUCCUGCCACCCCUCCUGUUCCUGCAGCCUCUCCUCCUGUCUCCUGUUCAGGAGACUCAACAUCUGAUUGUUUUCCACCUCAGCCUGGAGCUGUCUUCCCACACUCUCCAGCUCCUUCCUUAGGUGGUUGGUCUCAUCUUGGAGCUGCUCCACCUUAGAGGGCCGUGCUGGGGGCUCUGGGGCCAGGGGUUCAGCUGAGAAAGGAAGCAGACAAUAAGGGCCUCUGGAUAAAAAAAAAAAAAAAAAAAAAAUCCUCCCUUCGGUGCACAGCUCCUCCUCUCAGGCUUCCCAAACUUGGCCUCACUGCUAAUGACUCCUCACACCCGGAUGGUAGCCAAUCUUCCAAGUCACUUUCAGAUAGCACUGUGGGUGGCUGACAACGGGCACUCCUCCCUCUUUACUGAGAGGGACACUGAGGCUCAUGGAGAUGACAAGACUUGCCAUCUCCUGGCACAGACCUCUUUCCCUCUGCCUCAAAGCCCUUCCAUCUACCCACCUCCCCGGGGCAUUCUAAGUCACCCUCACAGCCCUCUGAUGCCAGUCCUGCUCCUAGGUCAUGGCAGCCCCAUCUUACCCGUCUGGUUUUUGAGUUUGAACAAGUUCCUCCCAAGCUUCUGUACCUGAUGUAUCUCAUGCUUCUCCUCUUUCAAUGUGUGAACCUGCCUAAAGCAGAGGGGAAAGGGCCCUGCAGAGAGGGGCUGCUGAACCUCUAGAGACAGAGUUUGAGAAAGGCCCACCCCCCUUCUGCCAGCUUACGAUUGAGAAAGGUGCAUUCACUCAACAAACAUUUACUGAGCACGUACAGGCCAGGUACAGUUCUUCAUAGCAGAGAUAUAAGACAGCAAAGGACAGACAGGAGCCCUUGGUCCUGAGGUUUCCAUUCUAGGAGCCUUUAAAUCUCUGAGCUAACAGUGACCUUUGAUACUCUCUACCUCCUCCAGAAACACGAGCCUAAGGAGGAGAGAUGGCUUGUCCAGACUCAAAAAGCAAAUUAGGGACUGAGGCAGGGCAGAAAUACGGGCCCCUGAAAACCAGUCAGGCUAGUGCUUUCCUGAGAGGUGACAACCCCAGGGCAUGUGUGGCAAGGACUAGAGCAGGGGUGUCUGGAGAAGAGAGAGUCAGCAAAGAGGGCAGUGCAGAAGAGCCAUGCUGCAUGUUCUGUGCUCUGGGGUCCCUCCAGGUGAGACCUGGGUGCCCAGCUCCCCAUUUGCCCUUGGCAUCAGGGGCUCCUAGCCCCUUUCUUCAGGGCCCCAAGAGGAAACUGGAGUCCAGGAUUCACAGGCUGGAAUCAGGGGACCCCACUGGACUCUUACCAGUGAAUUGAUGUUUUCAGUGAGUUGACUGAUUAUUGUGGAGCUUGAAUCCAGGGCCACUGCUAGUUCUUGGUACUGGCUCUGAGGUGCAUGCAGAGAGGAGGAGUUGGAGGAAGAUUGUGGGGAGGGGUAGAGAGAAUAAUCAUUAGGGCUGGUGGGGGUGUGUGGGCUGCCUCAGCUGGCAGAGGGGCAACAAGCCCCUGCUGUGGGAGGAGGUUGGAGGGCUAGCCUGCAGGGUCACUGCACCUCGGCCCAGGGCCUCUUACCUCCAGAUCCUCCAGGGUAGCAGAUGAUGCACGGCCCUCCCCGUAGAUACCUGUUGCUGACUGCAAACGAUGAGAGUGCACAUGGAGAUGUCCUGUCCCCCCUCACUGUCUAAGCCCUCUGAUUUCCUUUCUUCCCCAUCAACUGGCAAAAGCUUCUUUUCUGCCUAUCUUGGACCCUUUUUCCCAUAACUCCUUUGUGCCAACUUCUCUCAUGGU